rnacentral:rRNA from 1 species
UACGGAGGGGGCUAGCGUUGUUCGGAAUUACUGGGCGUAAAGCGCACGUAGGCGGACCGGAAAGUUGGGGGUGAAAUCCCGGGGCUCAACCUCGGAACUGCCUUCAAAACUACUGGUCUUGAGUUCGAGAGAGGUGAGCGGAAUUCCGAGUGUAGAGGUGAAAUUCGUAGAUAUUCGGAGGAACACCAGUGGCGAAGGCGGCUCACUGGCUCGAUACUGACGCUGAGGUGCGAAAGCGUGGGGAGCAAACAGG